UGAUUUAAAAAACGAAAAAAA
rnacentral:piRNA from 1 species